rnacentral:rRNA from 1 species
GAUGAAUGCUGGCGGCGUGCCUAACACAUGCAAGUCGAGCGGUAACAGGAGUAGUUUACUACUUGCUGACGAGCGGCGGACGGCUGAGUAACGCGUGGGAACAUGCCCCAAAGUGAGGGAUAAGCUCCAGAAAUGGAGUCUAAUACCGCAUAUGAUCUUCGGAUUAAAGGAUUUAUCCGCUUCGGGAGUGGCCUGCGUACGAUUAGAUAGUUGGUGAGGUAAUGGCUCACCAAGUCGACGAUCGUUAACUGGUCUGAGAGGAUGAUCAGUCAGACUGGAACUGAGACACGGUCCAGACUCCUACGGGAGGCAGCAGUGAGGAAUCUUCCACAAUGGGGGCAACCCUGAUGGAGCAACGCCGCGUGCAGGGUGAAGGCCUUCGGGUCGUAAACUGCUUUUAUAAGUGAAGAAUAUGACGGUAACUUAUGAAUAAGCACCGGCUAACUACGUGCCAGCAGCCGCCGCG